rnacentral:lncRNA from 1 species
AAUAACAAACCACUCAAAUCUAAACAGUUCUUAAGGAGAAAUCACUAUUCCUGAACUGGCAUGCAUUCUCUGAGUGACAAGCAAUAGACUUUGGCUGCCAUAAAAGUUGAGGAUUGUGCCACACUUCUCAGGAUUUCAUGCAGAGGCAGCCUAGACAGGCAGAUGCAAUGAGAAACUGCAUGCCAGAUGUUAUGAAAUAGCUUGAAUCAAUAGAAGAAACUGCAGACCCCUUUUC